rnacentral:siRNA from 1 species
UUGGUUACUUAGCUUGAAUGCAAC